AUGACCCCUAUUGAGGUUGGUUAACAUUAAAAUAUUUAUCUCUGAAGGGAACACAAAUGAAAAUAUCUCAGAGAGGAGUGAGAGGAGACAUCAGGGUACCAGGAGCCGGAAUCUCAACCAUCUGGAAUCCUACUGAGACUUGGCGGCCCGUUCCAGAGUUUCAGAGCAGAGAGCUGAUCUUGGAGAUUGCAAUUUCCAGGCGAAGUUCAUCCCUCAUCCAGUCUCACGCAAUUCCAGUAUUUUUCAAUCUAUGGAAUGAAUAAUAAAUUUAACUACCACCU
rnacentral:lncRNA from 1 species